AGCUUUUCUUUGCCUUUUGGCUUAGAUCAAGUGUAGUAGUAGGGAUUCCCUUCUUCGGUCUAGCGUACUUCUGGCUAAUAUUUUCCAGUCUGUUCUUUUCAGUUUAAUCUCUGAAACGCGUCUACGGACGCAUUUUCAAGAUUAUUCCUAUUUUUGAACCCAGUCCCCCUCUCACUGGGCUUGCUCAUAGUUGGGGACACAGUGACGCUGGCCCGUGCACUACUGCCGGCUGUCGCGACCACUA
rnacentral:snRNA from 1 species